GAUGAACGCUGGCGGCGUGCCUAAUACAUGCAAGUCGAACGAGGAGCUCUUGUAGCAAUACGAGGGUUUCCUAGUGGCGAACGGGUGAGUAACGCGUUGGUGACCUGCCCCGAAGAGGGGGAUAACAGUUCGAAAGAACUGCUAAUACCCCAUGUGGUCACGAGGGUUAGAGGCCUCGUGUCUAAAGGAGCAAUCCGCUUUGGGAGGGGCCUGCGUCCCAUCAGCUAGUUGGUAGGGUAAUGGCCUACCAAGGCGACGACGGGUAGGGGGCCUGAGAGGGUGGCCCCCCACAAUGGAACUGAAACACGGUCCAUACACCUACGGGUGGCAGCAGUAGGGAAUAUUGCACAAUGGGCGAAAGCCUGAUGCAGCAACGCCGCGUGCACGAUGAAGGUCUUCGGAUCGUAAAGUGCUUUUCGGGGAGAUGAGAAAGGACAGUAUCCCCGGAAUAAGUCUCGGCUAACUACGUGCCAGCAGCCGCGGUAAUAC
rnacentral:rRNA from 1 species